rnacentral:rRNA from 1 species
AGUCGAGCGGUAACAGGCAUUUUGAUUCAGCUUGCUGAAUCUCGCGCUGACGAGCGGCGGACGGGUGAGUAACGCGUAGGAAUCUACCUAGUAGAAGGGGAUAGCCCGGGGAAACUCGGAUUAAUACCGUAUACGUCCUUAGGGAGAAAGAGGGCUUAGCUUUGAUGCUCUCGCUAUUAGAUGAGCCUGCGUAAGAUUAGCUUGUUGGUGAGGUAAAGGCUCACCAAGGCUACGAUCUUUAGCUGGUCUGAGAGGACGAUCAGCCACAUUGGGACUGAGACACGGCCCAGACUCCUACGGGAGGCAGCAGUGGGGAAUAUUGGACAAUGGGCGCAAGCCUGAUCCAGCCAUACCGCGUGUGUGAAGAAGGCCUUCGGGUUGUAAAGCACUUUAAGUAAGGAAGAAAAGUAUAUUGUUAAUACCAAUGUACCGUGACAUUACUUACAGAAUAAGGACCGGCUAAUUCCGUGCCAGCAGCCGCGGUAAUACGGAAGGUCCAAGCGUUAAUCGGAAUUACUGGGCGUAAAGCGCGCGUAGGUGGUUUAUUAAGUUGGGUGUGAAAGCCCCGGGCUCAACCUGGGAACUGCAUCCAAAACUGAUUCACUAGAGUACGAAAGAGGGAGGUAGAAUUCACAGUGUAGCGGUGGAAUGCGUAGAUAUUGUGAAGAAUACCAAUGGCGAAGGCAGCCUCC